AGAGUUUGAUCAUGGCUCAGGAUGAACGCUGGCGGCGUGCCUAACACAUGCAAGUCGAGCGAUUUGCUUCGGUAAAGAGCGGCGGACGGGUGAGUAACGCGUGGGUAACCUGCCCUGUACACACGGAUAACAUACCGAAAGGUAUGCUAAUACGAGAUAAUAUGCUUUUAUCGCAUGGUAGAAGUAUCAAAGCUUUUGCGGUACAGGAUGGACCCGCGUCUGAUUAGCUAGUUGGUAAGGUAACGGCUUACCAAGGCGACGAUCAGUAGCCGACCUGAGAGGGUGAUCGGCCACAUUGGAACUGAGACACGGUCCAAACUCCUACGGGAGGCA
rnacentral:rRNA from 1 species